GGUUAAAGACAUUUCCCCUUAAUAAGCUAGCAGGUGGAGCCCUUCUGGCCUAAGGAUCAGAACAGUCUUGGGCCUGGAGCAGAGGGAGAGCACUCUCGUGUGAGUGGGCAUAGGGGAAGUCCAUAUGAUUCACGUGUGGGACGCACAGAGAGCAAGAGAGGAGCCACUCUUGCGUCCUGGGCCCAUGCAGUUUAAAUGGUUGCAGUGAUGUUAAAAUUUGUUUGCAUUGAGACAAGGAGAAAAACAAAACCCAGAGACUUUGAACACAUGUUUCUUAGGUUCACGUCAAGCUGCCUUCGUGAUCCUGCACGAGCCCUUUCAUCUCAUGGUAGCUGGUGAAGAGAGAGACGUGAGAUGGAGCAGGCAGAGGUCUUUUGCAUCCAUCAGGAACUUUCAUGUGAAGGAGUGGAAAGUGAGGUUGGAGAUGGUGGACAGGAGAGAGCCUUGUGAAUGGCUGCUCCAGAUGUUUCUCCUUUGCUGGGUCUUCAGCUCGGGGGCCACGUGGCAUUCAUCCUGCUUCCCUCCUGGGGUCCCUCCUUGCGGGCUCUUCACCCCACCUUCAGAUCUGGGCGGCUUUAGCCAUGACCCAGAAAAGGAGCAGCCUGCAGCCAGGAGAGCCACCACUACCAGACUCUACCUGACAGCUCCCUUACGCAUUUCCUCUCCUCUCUGAAGAUUUGAAGUCUGGGUCACGUUGUCAGAGAAAGUGGGAGACACUCGGGGAGUCUGGGGCACUGAUUUAUGAUCAUAUCCAGGGGAAAAACAAGCCCGAGGUCAUCCCAUCCCACCAGCCCAAGGACUGCCUGAGGAUGACAGUGGACACAAUAAUUUCUGCGUGAGAAAUGAAAUUUGAUGUCUCAAGCAUUUCAAAUGCUUCGGGAGCAGAUAGGUGCUUCUCGGAGAAGGCUGGGUUGUCUGUCUACCGUGAUGGCGAGGUGUUCUUGCUCUCUGAUGUAUCCCCAGCUCCCACAGGCACUGAGGAAGUGUCUGCUGGGGGGAUGGAUAAAUUGUGUGUGACCUGAGUUCUCCGGGGACUCGUGAGCCUGUGUGAACAAACGGGAUGGCCUCAGUGAGACCCUUCGAUUUUCCCUUUUCCUGAUCCUGCUCCCAAACUCGCUGUGGUUGUUUCCAUGGCUCUCACCAUGGCUCACUCUGACAUGAAACGGGUCUUGAGCUUUUGUGGUUUCUUACCUGUUCUUGUCUGCCCCUCCAUCCCCACUGGCACCUGUCACUCAUGCCAUCUUGUCGGGGCCCCUUGUUACAGCUGCUGGCCUCUGAGAGCGCUGUCACCCUGCAGAGUGUUCUGGGGUGACCUGACUGGGGAGCAAGCGGCCCAGCUGCCCCCUCCCCGGGCUGCAGCCUCUGUCAGCUAUGGUGUCAGGAGCCGCCUCGUACUGUUGUAGGGCCCCCUGUUCCAGGCAUCACAACGGUGGUGCUGGUGGCCUGAUAGCCUCUCUCCCACGGGUCUGGCCAUGGAGCCACCCUCCUCCUCCCUGGCUGCCUGCCGAAACCACUUCCUCAUUCUUUGGCAGACAGAGAAAAACCAGAUCAACCCUCCUGCAGAGAGACUCCCAGGGGUGCUGACCACUGCUUCUUCAGAAACGGCUCGGCUGUAAGCCCUGAGGGAGGCCCAGGACUCGGGCUCCGGGAGGCCAGGAGCUGCUUGGCCAGAGGCAGGGACUGGGAGAGAAAAACUGUUGAUGUGGGAGAGAGAGGAGAAAAAAAGCAAGAAUGGACAAGGGGAAACAGACAUUUAAGCGUCUGUAAAUGUGCAAGAUUUUCUAUGUUUUACCUAAUUUAAUCCUCAAAAAAAAAUCUGCAAGGUGGAUACUGUAACUCAUGUUUGAGAGAUGAGGAAACCAAGGAGUUUAAAUAUUAUUUCCCAGAGAAGGUGGCUUAGAUGUGCAGCCACAAAGGGUUGCCUAAGACUGGAUUCCAGAACUCGGCACAGUUGAGAACAGCUGGGGGCAAGUUCUUUUCAAGAACGUGGGAGGAAGGGGCAGGGCAAAUAUUUGUCUUUAGGGGUGGGGGUGGGGGGGAAGCACAGCCUGGCUGCCGAGAAGCGCUGAGCUACGUGUGUCCAGCUCCUCUCCCCACUCAUCUAGAAUCUGUGAGGGGACCAGAGUGACUCAUGGGGGUACCUCCACACGGGAGGAAGCACCAAACCCAGACAUGGGAGCCAAGUGGUCCUGUCACCUUCGCUGGGGCUUGUUCUCCUGGCUCAUGGGACUCCAGCCAGGGCCCUGCUUACCCCACGGGGAUGGAGGUGAGCAGCCCACCAAUACAGUCCUGCUCAGUCCUGGAAAUACAGGUGUACUUUCCAGAUCAUUCUGAGCCUGCUGUCGGACAACAUUCAUUUAGCCUCCAGAAGGCUCAGAAAUGAUUCAGAACAUGAUGGGAAUGAGAUUAGCAGCAAAACCACGAUCUACUCAGAGCUGGAAAUUCACCUGACUGUGUUUCCUGUCCCCAGUAACCACAUGAAAAUGUAGGUUUUAUUAUUAUUCAGGGCUGGUGAGGCCAGCAGAUCAAGAGAUGAGUGUCACUGGAAAGAUGGCGUGUUACUCACAGAUCCCAAGAGAAGCGGCAUGCCGUACCUUGUAGGGUCACACGGGGAAGCACCGGUGUGGGUUAGGGGGCCGAGGAGAGAGCCCUUAGUGUGGUUCCUAUGGAAGGAAUCGGUGAGGCAGGGGAAGUGGGCUUAGUGGCAGCUCGUCUGAAUCAUUUCAGUGGGCUCUGGGGCACGGUGCUGUCCCUGGUGGUCUGGUGUGUGGGUUGGGGCAGGUAAAGGGUGGCCCAGAAUGUGAAAGCUGAUAAAGGAGAUGUUUGGUGUGUGGACUGUUCGAAACACAUGCUCUGGGAAUUGGCUAGCCUGGGGAGGGGAAGUCCCUUCAGAGCAAGCAAGGCCUGGAUAUCAAAGCCUCAGAAACAAGUGGUUAAUACAUUUAUGCCCAGUUAGUCUGACACAGCGCAUCACAUGAUAUGCAAGGAAAUCAGACGGCCAAAAGUAAAGUGCCAGCCAAACAGAGAGGCUCCUAGUUUUAUUCUUUUCAAGGAGAUGGUCAAAUAUCCUUUUUUUUUUUCAGUUUUAAUAUUUUAAGUAUAGCUGAGUUUUAUGUUUGUGUUAAUUUCUGCUGUACAGCAAAGUGAUUUUGUUAUGCAUAUGUUAUACAUUCUUUUUAAAAUGUUCUUUUCCAUUAUGGUUUAUCAUAGGGUUAGAUCCCUGAGUCAGGAAGAUCCCCUGGAGAAGGAUAAUGGCAACCCACUCCAGUACUCUUGCCUGGAAAAUCUCAAGGACGGAGCCUUGUAGGCUACAGUCCAUGGGGUCACCAAGAGUUGGACACGACUGAGUGACUUCAUUGUCUUCCACUUUUAUCAUAGGAUAGUGAAUAUAGUCUGUGCUAUGCAGAAGGACCUUGUUUGUCCAUCCUCUGCUAACCUCAGACUCCCACUCCACCCUCCCCAACCCUCUCCCACUCAGCAACCACAAGUCUGUUCUCUGUGAGUCUGUCUCACAUGUACGUUUGUUCCUAUCAUAUUUUAGGUUCCACGUAUAAGGAUGUCAUGAAAUUUGUCCUCUUUCUGACUUACUUCACUUAGUAUGAUAAUCUCUGGUUGUAUCCAUGUUGGAGCAAACGGCAUUAUUUUGUUCUUUUUUUGGCUGAGUAAUAUUCCAUUGUGUCCAUGCACCACAUUUUCUUUACCCAUUCAUCUGCUGAUGGACAUUUAGGCUGCUUCCAUGCCUUGGCUAUUGCGAACAGUGCUGCCGUGAACAUAGGGACACACGUAUUGUUUUGAAUCAUAAUUUUGUCUGGAUACAUGCCCUAGAGUGGGACUGCUGGAUCACAUGGCUGAAACAGCGUUUGUUAAGCACAGUCAAGCCGGUAGAACAGUCACCAUAAACCUGGGAAGCAUUAGCAGUUGGAAGCUAGUGCUGCACAUAAAUGGAGCCUCUUGCUUGUGGUUUUGUGUCCAACACACACACAAGGUAUUAUCCUGUAGUCCCAAGUUUGAUUUUCAGCCUUUUCCCAUGGUCUAGUUCCUGAGAAGACAUUAAAGUCCAAAGAUUAAGUUACUUUGCCCUUGUAAAUUGAAGUACAAUGAAACCAAACCUCACAGAUGUUGAAAUCAAGGUCUGUGUUUCCUCCUCAUCAAUUCCUUCCUCCCUAGUUCCAGCAGGAAGACUCCUCUGUCUGGGAAGGGGACCACAGUCCAGGCUGCCUUGUCGUCUGCAGGGAAAGGUGUGGCUUCUUGGGCCUGUGUCAUCAACUUGACCUCCCACACACCCCUUUAUUUAAAAAGAAAAAAAAAACUAAAAACCCUUUUCUGUUAAAGUAAAGCCGAUUGAUAUUUGGCAAAACUAAUACAAUUAUGUAAAGUUUAAAAAAAAAAAAAAAAAGUACCAGAAAAAAAAAAAAAGUAAAGCCGAUUAAAAUGUUGUGAUAGUUUCAGGUGAACAGCCAAGGGACUCAGCCGAACAUAUACAUGUAUCCUUCCUCCCCUAAACCCCUCUCCCAUCCAGGCUGCCACAUAGCACUGAACAGAGUUCCCUAUGCCAUACAGUGGGUCCUUGUUGGUUAUCCAUUUUAAACAUAGCAAUAUCUACAUGUCCAUCCCAAACUCCCUAACUAUCCCUGUGCCCCCGCUGCCCCGCCACCAGCCACCACAAGUUCAUUCUCUAAGUCUGUGAGUCGUUCCUGUUUUGUAAGUUCAUUUGUAUCAUUUCUUUUUAAAUUCCACACAAGGGAUGGCAUAUGAUAUUUCUCCUUCUCUAUCUGACUUAUCUCACUUUGCGUGCAUGCUAAGUUCUUUCAGUCAUGUCCAAUGCUGUGCCACCUUAUGGACUGCAGCCCGCCAGGCUCCUCUGUCCCCAGGAUUCUCCAGGCAAGAAUACUGGAGUGGGUUGCCGUUUCCUCCUCCAGGAGAUCUUCCCCAACCAGGGAUAGAACCCGAGUCUCUUGCAUCUAACCUGCAUUGGCAGGUGAAUUCUUUACCACUAGUGCAACCUUCACUUUACACACCCUUUGAAAAAUGACCCUGAUAUUAGUACAAGAUUAUCACGUCUCUGGGCCCAAUUACAAGAAAUUGUAGUGAUACCAAGGGAACAUUUCUUGCAAAAAUGGGCACAAUAAAGGACAGAAAUGGUAUGGACCUAACAGAAGCAGAAGAUAUUAAGAAGAGGUGGCAAGAAUACAGAGAACUAUACAUAAAGGAUCAUAAUGACCCAGAUAACAAUGAUGGUGUGAUCACUCACCCAGAGCCAGACGUCCUGGAAUGUGAAGUCAAGUGGGCCUUAGGAAGCAUGACUAAAAACAAAGCUAGUGGAGGUGAUGGAAUUCCAGUUAAACUAUUUCAAAUCCUAAAAGAUGAUGCUGUGAAAGUGCUGCACUCAAUAUGCCAGCAAAUUUGGAAAACUCAGCAGUGGCCGCAGGACCGGAAAAGGUCAGUUUUCAUUCCAAUCCCAAAGAAAGGCAAUGCCAAGCAAUAUUCAAACUACUGCAAAAUUGCACUCAUUUUACAUGCUAGCAAAGAAAUGCUCAAAAUUCUCCCAAGUGAGGCUUCAACAGUACAUGAACUGUGAACUUCCAGAUGUUCAAGCUGGAUUUAGAAAAGGCAGAGAAACCAGAGAUCAUAUUGCCAACAUCCAUUGGAUCAUAAAAAGCAAGAGAAUUCCAGAAAAAACAUCUACAUCUGCUUUAUUGACUAUGCCAAAUCCUUUGACUGUGUGGAUCACAACAAAUUAUGGGAAGCUCUUAAAGAGAUGCGGAUACUAGAACACCUGACCUGCCUCUUGAGAAACCUGUAUGCAGGUCAAGAAGCAACAGUUAGAACCAGACAUGGAACAGUGGCCUGGUUACAAAUUGGGAAAGGAGUACAUCAAGGCUGUAUAUUGUCACCCUGUUUAUUUAACUUAUAUGCAGAGUACAUCAUGAGAAAUUCUGGACUGGAUGAAACACAAGCUGGAAU
ensembl:lncRNA